GCAGCACACAUAUUAAAAUGGAAGGACACAGAGAAGAUUACCAUGGCCCCUGCUCAAAGAUGACAUACAAAUCCGUGCAGUGUUUCAUAUUUGG
ensembl:snRNA U6 U6 spliceosomal RNA